rnacentral:piRNA from 1 species
GGCCGAUGUCAAUAAACUCAACCUGCUC